CGUGUCGGCUGUUGAUCACGGUUUGCCAUUUUGAAUCAUCGUGAUGAACAGCCGAUACGUC
rnacentral:pre_miRNA from 1 species